AUGCUUGUUGUUAGUACAUCUAAGCGUGAGUGUGAGCUCCCUGCAGACCUCAGUGUUUACAGGCCUCCUCCAUGGAAACAGCAGCUGCUCGGCCUGGCUUCAGGUACCAGACCCAUGCCGCGUCCUCAGGUCACAGCAGCUUCAAUUGUCAUUUGGACCGUGUUCCUCACUGCAGCUGGAUCGAACGGGGUGUUUGUGCUCCGUCUCCGAUGGCUGCGGCGUCAGCAGGAAGCUGAUCCGCCGUUAGAUCACCUCCCACCUUCCCCUGGUGCCACAGCUUCACAGCUUCUCCUGGAAAACGAGGAAAUGCUUCAAUCAUCACUUCUAACACGAAACUUUCAGUUUGUUCCUUAAAUAAGUAUUAGUUCAGCAGCAGGUUGUAUUAUUAAAAGUUGUUCCCACUGGAAAGAUUAAAUAUUUGCAAUAUAUUAAAUCCAAUAUUUUCACAGGCUGAGCUGCUCAUUGAACGGCUGAAACGCAAUCUGGAAAAGAUAAGCAGCAGCGUCCCAUUGUAGAUUCUAGUUCUACACUGGAUAAAUAAUUAGAAAGACAUGGAAGUUUUUCAUCUUACCAGUGAAUCAGCAAAUGGCUGCAAAGUCACAAACAAAAGAUGAAUGGAGUCAAGAGCCAAAACCAAACAGACAGAUCCAGGUAGUUACUGCAGCAGACAGCAACAUAACGUGGGCAAAGCUUCACUCUGUCACGUCUCAUCUGGGCUGAAGCAGCAGCUUUGCAGUUCGGUUGCUGUUUAGGAUGCAAAGCUGGGAAUCGGUGCUAAAAAGCACGUGGCCUCAGCUGGCAGGUUAUCAUGAAUCACAGCAGCAGAGACAAGGAGCUAAACAUGAGGGAGGACUGUGUGUAAGAGGGUCCCAGUCCCACCUGAACCAACAGCAGGUCUGAAUGGAAGGCAGCGCCGCUCAGGACGUGAGCUCCUGUGUUUGUCCUUCGUGACACCACUUCUCAGCAGCUCCUGGUUGUUGUUUCCUUCUUCCUGAAACGCUGAGCUUUGCACAUUAUGGAGCACACAGAACUGGAAAGCUCUUCUCUUAAGUGGAAAACCAAGCCAUUCUUAUGCUUUAAGUCGGUUAAUGAUCAGCUUAUGUUUGUGCGCUGCCUCAGCGGAGUCAAGUUACAGCUACAGCAGUCGACAACUUCCAGAAGAUCCAGGAAAAACCACACACGCACACAAACGUCUGAGCUUCUUUCAUUAGAAGCUGUGCAUCAUCAUUAGUGUUGAUCUGUUACGUCCAGUCAGCUACAUGAUACACGAGGAGAUGCAGUGAUACGUUGCUUGGAAAAGCAAACAAACACUUCUCACCAAAAUCACAAAGUCACAGAUCAUUAUUUAUCAAAAAAUAGACACAGAACAACAAUCGUCUGUUUUUAAUUAUUAAAGCAAGUGAGACGAUGAGCUAGUGAAAGAUGCUGAUCACGGAUUGGUUGUCUGCUACAGUGUAACCAUGUCUGAUUGUCUGAUUGGUACAAAUGAAGUCAAAUAAAUAUACAGCAGCUCUAUAAAUAGUGUUAAAU
rnacentral:lncRNA from 1 species